rnacentral:lncRNA from 1 species
UAUGAAUCAAUGUCUUAUAAACACUUGUAAAUAUGUACGUUGCAAGUUUCUUUUUUGUUUUUAUUUUUGAUAUUGUUGAGUUUAAGGUGAAAUUUUCAAUAUCAGGCGAGGAGUAUGCUGGAACGAUUUCCGGAAUUUUGUAAAGCUUUUUCCGAUUUGAUUUUUUUAUUAUUGAAUUACGAUAACUUCCUUGAAACUAUCACGUUUUAAUUCUAUCAUCUAAAAGUAAUAAUCUGUUAAUCCAAGCACAAUGUAAGUAAAUUUUUCAUGUCUUUAGUGCACAUUUAAAUAGUUCUUAAUGCAUAUUAAUUGUAGUUUUUGUAUGCUGCGCGAUAACGGCAUUUUCAGAUUAUUUUGUCAAAGGGUCAAGUUGCGAGAUUUUUUAUGUAUGGAACGCCAUCCGCGUUAUUAUAUUAUGAUUGUUUUUGAGAAUUAUGAUAUUUUUUAACAUGUAUUUGAAAUUUAGAAAUAAUUUCAUUUAUUAUUUACAUUUAAUUGUGUAAUUAAAGUGUAGAUUUAGGUAAUUUCUACUGAUAAGCCAUAUUUUUCUACUUUGAGAUAUUUUCAUGGUACACCAG